AUGACGCGCGAGGGCGGGAAGAAGGCAGAUGGAGGGCAGGAAGUAAACAUGGAGAAUACGUCUAUAGAGGAAACCGUUGCAGAAAGUCAGUAUUGUACGGAUUUAGAUCCAGUUUCAAGAUAUAGAUACAAGGAGUUAAUUAACAGAUAUGUUGGACGUGACCCGUACCUCAUGAAGAUGAGUGAGUUUUCAGUAGAACUGAAAGAUUUACCGACAGUUGAGGCUGUUGACAUCACCAACUAUCUGGUCCUUCAGACAUCGUACUACACCAGACAGCAAAUGAAGGCCUACAAAAGUAUGGAGGCAUACAACUUUUUUGUCAACGGAUGGGUCCACAACCUCGGUGUCAAACGGCUCCACGAUGAUCAUCGUUUGGUCUUCGCCAGAGUAAACCACUCUCAGAGGUCAAGCGAAACACCUCUGAAGACCUGGAUUAUUGCGAAGGAGGUUGGAGAAGUCAUUGCAGCUCAUUGCAAUUGCAUGGCAGGACUAUCAGAAUCGUGUUCUCAUGUAGGGGCAGUUCUUUUUUCCAUUGAAGUUGGGGUAAAGAUGCGAGAUUCCGCUUCCUGCACAACAGAGCAGUGCAAGUGGCUGAUGCCAUCACAUGUAAAAAAGAUUCCUGCUGCUCCAGUAGCUCUGAUUGACUUCUCCUCAGCAAAAGCAAAAAAAAUAAAGCUUGACCGUUCCAUUGAUGGCAGGACAACUGACAACAAGGUUGGGAAAUCACUACCAUGCCCAAGAGUUAAGAGAGGGUCAGAAACAUAUGCUAGGUUUUUUGAAACAUUAAGCAAAAACUGUCCAAGGAGUGCAGCACUGAUGGCUAGGGAGCCUUACCACAAAGAAUUCAUCCCCAAAUCUUGCAUGCUUCCUAAAACUGUUCUUGAAUACAGAACACCGGAGACUCUGCAGCUACCCCCCAAAGAGCUUGGAGAGCUAUGCCAGGAUUUUCUGCUAGAAGAGCUCACCCUGUCUCAUGUUCAGGCUGUAGAGAGGGCAACUCGAAGUCAGAGUGCAAGCAGGGUUUGGUUUAGGCAAAGAGCAGGACGUGUAACGGCCUCAAAGCUGAAACAAGUGCUUAAGACCAACCCCCAGCAGCCAUCCAAGAGCUUGAUCAAGGGCAUAUGCUACCCAGAAGCAUAUAGGUUCAUCACAGCCGCUACAAGGUAUUUAGGGUUUGAAUUAGGGAAAGGCAAAGGUAAGAUUUGGGGUAUGAGGCAUGAACAAAUGUUUACUGUUUUCAUAGUUGAUUCAUGGUAUGGACAGCCCUGA
rnacentral:lncRNA from 1 species